AUACGUAGGUGGCGAGCGUUGUCCGGAAUUACUGGGCGUAAAGGGUGCGCAGGCGGACUAUUAAGUGGGAUGUGAAAACCCAAGGCUUAACCUUGGGACUGCAUUCCAAACUGGUAGUCUUGAGUGCAGGAGAGGAAAGCGGAAUUCCACGUGUAGCGGUGAAAUGCGUAGAUAUGUGGAAGAACACCAGUGGCGAAGGCGGCUUUCUGGACUGUAACUGACGCUGAGGCACGAAAGCGUGGGGAGCAAACAGGAUUAGAUACCCUGGUAGUCCACGCUGUAAACGAUGAGUGUUAGGUGUAGGGGCUGUCAUGGCUUCUGUGCCGCAGUAAACGCAAUAAACACUCCGCCUGGGAAGUACGGUCGCAAGACUAAA
rnacentral:rRNA from 1 species